rnacentral:rRNA from 1 species
AUUGAACGCUGGCGGCAUGCCUUACACAUGCAAGUCGAACGGUAACAGGUCUUCGGAUGCUGACGAGUGGCGAACGGGUGAGUAAUACAUCGGAACGUGCCUAGUAGUGGGGGAUAACUACUCGAAAGAGUGGCUAAUACCGCAUGAGAUCUACGGAUGAAAGCAGGGGAUCGCAAGACCUUGUGCUACUAGAGCGGCCGAUGGCAGAUUAGGUAGUUGGUGGGAUAAAGGCUUACCAAGCCGACGAUCUGUAGCUGGUCUGAGAGGACGAUCAGCCAAACUGGGAAUGAGACACGGCCCAGACUCCUACGGGAGGCAGCAGUGGGGAGUUUUGGACAAGGGGCGAAAGCCUGAUCCAGCAAUGCCGCGUGCAGGAUGAAGGCCUUCGGGUUGUAAACUGCUUUUGUACGGAACGAAAAGCCCUGGGUUAAUACCCUGGGGUCAUGACGGUACCGUAAGAAUAAGCACCGGCUAACUACGUGCCAGCAGCCGCCGUAAAAC